GGGUCGUUAGCUCAGUUGGUAGAAACAGUUGACUUUUAAUCAAUUGGUCGCAGGUUCGAAUCCUGCGACCCACCA
rnacentral:tRNA from 1 species